GCUCAGCCCUAAACAUAAAUAAUUAUCACAACAAAAUUAUCUGCCAGAGAACUACUAGCAAUAGCUUAAAACUCAAAGGACUUGGCGGUGCUUUACAUCCCUCUAGAGGAGCCUGUUCUAUAAUCGAUAAACCCCGAUAGACCUCACCACUUCUAGCUUAAUCAGUCUAUAUACCGCCAUCUUCAGCAAACCCUUAAAGGGAAGAAAAGUAAGCACAAUAAUAUUACAUAAAAAAGUUAGGUCAAGGUGUAACCUAUGAAGUGGGAAGAAAUGGGCUACAUUUUCUAACCAAGAACACACUCACGAAAGUUUUUAUGAAAACUAAAAACUAAAGGUGGAUUUAGUAGUAAAUUAAGAAUAGAGAGCUUAAUUGAAUAG
rnacentral:rRNA from 1 species